GCUCCUGCUUUGAGUUGUUCCGAAUUUCUGGACUAAACAAAUGUAUUUCUUAAAUGUAUUUGAUUGAUGUCUCAUGCCUCUCUAACAUGUAUGAAACCAAGCUGUGCACGAAGGACCUUGAGUACAUGUUCUGAGGGCUGUGUCAUGAGCCAUCAUCACUCAUAUUUGGCUCAGAAUAAAUAUCUUCAAAUAUUUUACAGAGUUCACCUCUUUGCAGGGACAAUAAUAUGGUGCCCAAACACGUGGAGCCUCAGAAGACUCAGGUUGCUGAAGGAGUAUCUGGAAAUCAGAGCUAAGGUACCAGCUGGAGCCCAUUGAAGCCUCACGGAGUUUGAGCUUCUCCUCCUGUGGAACUGACGGAGUUUCGCUCUUGCUACCCAGGCUGGAGUGCAAUGGCGCAAUCUCGGCUCACCGCAACCUCCGCCUCCUGGGUUCAGGCAAUUCUCCUGCCUCAGCCUCCCGAGUAGCUCGGAUUACAAGCACGCACCACCAUGUCCAGAGAAGAGUCUUACUCUGUUGCCCAGGCUGAAGUGCAGUAGCACAAUCCUAGCUUAUUGAAACCUUGAACUCCUAGGUGUAAGCAAUUCUCCUGCCUCAGCCUCCUUAGUACAGGACUACAAGUGUGCCCAGGUGAGGCUGGCUUCUUUUACUCUAUUAUGUUUUUUUCUUAGUUUUAUCUGCUCAUCAUUUGUCUGUUUUCUCCUUCUAUUUUCCUUUAGG